rnacentral:rRNA from 1 species
AGAGUUUGAUUAUGGCUCAGGAUGAACGCUAGCUACAGGCUUAACACAUGCAAGUCGAGGGGUAGCAGGGUAGCAAUACCGCUGACGACCGGCGCACGGGUGAGUAACACGUAUCCAACCUUCCCAUAACUCAGGGAUAGCCUUUCGAAAGAAAGAUUAAUACCUGAUAGUACUUUUUCAAGGCAUCUUGAAAAAGUUAAAGAUUUAUUGGUUAUGGAUGGGAUGCGUUCCAUUAGAUAGUUGGUGAGGUAACGGCUCACCAAGUCUUCGAUGGAUAGGGGUUCUGAGAGGAAGGUCCCCCACAUUGGUACUGAGACACGGACCAAACUCCUACGGGAGGCAGCAGUGAGGAAUAUUGGUCAAUGGGCGAGAGCCUGAACCAGCCAAGUAGCGUGAAGGAAUGAAGGUCCUAUGGAUUGUAAACUUCUUUUAUAGUAGAAUAAAGUGAUCCACGUGUGGAUUUUUGUAUGUAUACUAUGAAUAAGGAUCGGCUAACUCCGUGCCAGCCGCGGC